AUUGAACGCUGGCGGCAGGCCUAACACAUGCAAGUCGAGCGGAUGAAGGGAGCUUGCUCCUGGAUUCAGCGGCGGACGUGUGAGUAAUGCCUAGGAAUCUGCCUGGUAGUGGGGGAUAACGUCCGGAAACGGGCGCUAAUACCGCAUACGUCCUGAGGGAGAAAGUGGGGGAUCUUCGGACCUCACGCUAUCAGAUGAGCCUAGGUCGGAUUAGCUAGUUGGUGGGGUAAAGGCCUACCAAGGCGACGAUCCGUAACUGGUCUGAGAGGAUGAUCAGUCACACUGGAACUGAGACACGGUCCAGACUCCUACGGGAGGCAGCAGUGGGGAAUAUUGGACAAUGGGCGAAAGCCUGAUCCAGCCAUGCCGCGUGUGUGAAGAAGGUCUUCGGAUUGUAAAGCACUUUAAGUUGGGAGGAAGGGCAGUAAGUUAAUACCUUGCUGUUUUGACGUUACCAACAGAAUAAGCACCGGCUAACUUCGU
rnacentral:rRNA from 1 species